UUUGAUUUUAAACAUUAACUUUAAUAAAAUUUUAAAAUCUGUUCUUAUCAGUUUAAUAUCUGCUAUGUCCUUUAUUUGAGGACUGUAUAUUAAAUCGAUUUUUGAAACAGGGGGAUGGAAUAGGAGCUUGCUCUGUCCACCCCAUGCAUUGACCUGGUAUUGCAGUGCCUCCAGGAACGGUGCAUUUCCU